rnacentral:tRNA from 1 species
GGGCAUUUGGCCUAGUGGUAUGAUUCUCGCUUUGGGUGCGAGAUGUCCCGAGUUCAAUUCUCAAUAUGCCUA